UAGAAACACAAAUCAUGUGU
rnacentral:miRNA from 1 species